rnacentral:rRNA from 1 species
AUGCCAUCGCUCCGGUCCACCGCGGCCUCCCUGUCACCGCUACCUCGAGACCGCUGCCGAUACCCCCAUGAUCAACUACAACGACCCCUCCUUCUUGCCAGACCAACCAGGAGUCAGACGCCACUGUCGACGACGACUCCUACUACACUGGAGGUGCCUACUACUACCCGCAGGCCACUGACGACGACCAGGAGUAGUUUAGGAGGGUCCCAGGUAGGAGGCCUUGCCUUUUCGAUUGUUGCUACUUUUGUGCUAGCCUUCUUAAGGCAAAUUUGUUUAACUUAUGUCUGUACUCAGAUAUUGUUGCUUCCGCUAACUCGUCUAUGA